GGUUGCUCCACUCGUCCUCCUCAUCCUCCUCGUCGAUGUAUUUGAAAUAAGGCACAUCAAAGGCUUAGAAGUCACAGGCGAUUUUUACUCCCUUUGCAGAAGUGGGGAGACAUCAUCACCAGAGUCACCAAAAGUCUCCUGUCACUAAAAACAGCCAGGAAGAACCUUCUGAAGGUGACUGCAAGGCUGCUGGAAUUGGGACAAUUACCCGUGUGAUCCCAAUGAGCGGUGAUCGAUCGGGCCCAGACCUCGGCCCAGCCUUCAGCAACCGCAGGCCCACGGUGAUUUCCAGGGCAGAUCCGAGGGAUGCUUUGGAUGAGGAGACAAAUGAAAGCUGCUGCUCAUUCUAGAGCCCCGCUCUAAAUGAAGGCAAAUCCAAGGGAUGCUUUGGAGCAGGAGGCAAUUGAAAGUUGCUGCCCAUUCCAGAGCCCCACUCUAAAUAAAGAUACUAGCCCAAGCCUAUUCACAAUUUUUAUAAAAUCCUUAGUACAACAGACGUGGACUAGGCUCUUAAUGAGAUGGCUUUUGACCGAUUGACCAGAAGCCUCAGUUUCCUCCUGGGUUAAAUGAGUAGAUUGGCCUCGGAGGUCUCCCCAUAAAUCUAUAAUCUGUGAUGAUCCUCGGAAGGCGAGAAGAGGCCACUGAUCCCAUGUGGAGAUAAUUUGAAGCUCAUCCGCUGGAUGACAGACUCAAGCUGGAAUGAUAGACCCAAACCAACCAGAUGACAUUUAAUGAGGAUAAAUGUCAAGCCGGGCACUCAGGCUAAACAAAUGAACUCAGGACCUGGCUUGGCAGUUUUUCCCAUCAGAAGUCCCGGGAGCUUUGGCCGGCUACAUGCUUGCUGUGUCGGUGGGGCGAUGUGGCUGCUUAAGUGGCUAAUGCAAUCUUACGUUGCAUUAAUAGAGACGGUGACUCUGAAACAAAGGCAAAGCCAGACUCAGUGUCCACCGAGCCCGAACUCCUGGCCACGGAGAGGUCC